rnacentral:rRNA from 1 species
GACGAACGCUGGCGGCGUGCUAACCCAUGCAAGUCGCACGGAAAGGCCCUGCUUUUGUGGGGUGCUCGAGUGGCGAACGGGUGAGUAACACGUGAGUAACCUGCCCUUGACUUUGGGAUAACUUCAGGAAACUGGGGCUAAUACCGGAUAGGAGCUCCUGCUGCAUGGUGGGGGUUGGAAAGUUUCGGCGGUUGGGGAUGGACUCGCGGCUUAUCAGCUUGUUGGUGGGGUAGUGGCUUACCAAGGCUUUGACGGGUAGCCGGCCUGAGAGGGUGACCGGCCACAUUGGGACUGAGAUACGGCCCAGACUCCUACGGGAGGCAGCAGUGGGGAAUAUUGCACAAUGGGCGGAAGCCUGAUGCAGCAACGCCGCGUGCGGGAUGACGGCCUUCGGGUUGUAAACCGCUUUCGCCUGUGACGAAGCGUGAGUGACGGUAAUGGGUAAAGAAGCACCGGCUAACUACGUG